ACAGAGAGCAGCACACGGCAAUUCUGGAGAGAGGGAGGCUGGGGUGGGGGCUGUUUAUAGGCACAGUGCGUGGGGGAUGCUGGAGGCUCUUCCUACCCACCUUCCCCUGCAGGCUGGCCUGGCUCGUGGAGAGAGAGGUGUGGGAGGGGAACAUGUACAGACCCAAGUUCUUAGAGGAAGAAAGAAAACCAAGAAAGGGAAAAAGGGCAAACAAAUGGGAAAGCAGGAAAGAAGGAGAAAAGGAGUCAUCAGUCGGAGCCAGAGGCUGCAGUCGGGGAGUGAAGAAGCAAUCAAGGGAAAACAAGACAGUGUGGACGCAGACCCUAAACACUGGCAGCAGGGGGCGCUGGAGAGACCACUCUAGUUCUCUGAUCCACAUCUCCCUUCCUUUUCUGGACAGAUGCCCUGACCUUCCAGGAAACCCUUGGUGAGAGGCCCACAACCCUACUUCUAGGGUCACCACUGCUUCUUCCAGCCCAGCCAAACAGCUCCUAGUACAGCUCAGAGCACCCUGCAAGGAGGGCAGGUGUUAAAUCGAGGAGCACACGUGCUCCACAAGGAAUGCUUUGCUUUGAGGUCAUGCACAGAGGAUGCAAUGAGAAGGCGCCAUCUGUGAGGAACAGACCUUCAACAGACACCGAAUUUGCUGGCACUUUGAUCUUGGACUUCCCGGCCUCCAAAAUUAUCCAUAAUGGAUUCCUGGGACAUUUUCAGAUCUCCUUCCAGCUUCCUCUUCGCCCUUUCCAGGUCCGCCCGCAGUUUCUUUUCCUGCUCUAAGGAACCCUCAAGCUGAGAAGACACACAGGUAGAAAAGUAAGCCCCUGCUGGGGAAGCAUUUGCUCCUUAUAUUCGGCGCAGCCAUACACGUGACCUGGGGCUUCCUGGGGCUCCUGUAGGGUGCUGGCUGCAAGCUUCUGGCCUCAGGAGGAAGCAAGUCUUGUCCCCUACCUCCCCUCUCUUCUGUCUUCCAGAAAAGGCUACCCAGGGUGGGGCUGGGUCCUUCAUGGGCCUCCUGGUGCCUCUCUCAACUGAUUCCCACUCGGCCUGGCCCAGACCAUGUUCCAUGGAGGGGUAUGGUACUCACGGGUGCACACCCUUGCACAGACAAUACAAAUGGGGGCUUCUAUGGACAGCACUGUGAAGGUCUGUGCUCUACACCAUCACUCAUUCCCUGCUAACAUUACACAACCAUGGGAGGCAAGGAAUUCAUGUGUGUGUAUGUGUGUGUGCGUGUAUGCACACACACACACAUGCACACAUGGGAACAGGAAACAGGGGCGUAGAGGAGGAGCACACCUACCCUGGGCUCAGAAACAUUAAAGUUAUCUAGAAAAUCUCUAGCCACAAUAAUGAUUAAAACCUGAAAACUUCAAAAGUGGCUCUUACAUCAACAAUAAUAACGUCAUGUGAUGGGGGUGGAAAUAGUAAUUUUCGUGGCCACAAAUGGAACUCAUCUUUAAUAACGUUACAACAGGAUUGGAGGUUUUGGAACCCAAAGGACCUA